UACAGAGGGUGCAAGCGUUGUUCGGAAUUAUUGGGCGUAAAGCGCGUGUAGGCGGCUUUGCAAGUCGGGUGUGAAAGCCCUCAGCUCAACUGAGGAAGUGCGCCCGAAACUGCAGAGCUUGAGUACCGGAGAGGAUGGCGGAAUUCCCCAAGUAGAGGUGAAAUUCGUAGAUAUGGGGAGGAACACCGGUGGCGAAGGCGGCCAUCUGGACCAAUACUGACGCUGAGGAGCGAAAGCCAGGGGAGCAAACGGG
rnacentral:rRNA from 1 species